GACGAACGCUGGCGGCGUGCUUAACACAUGCAAGUCGAACGAAGUGGCGAACGGGUGAGUAACGCGUAAUUAACCUGCCCUUCCGAGGGGGACAACAGUUGGAAACGACUGCUAAUACCGCAUACUGAAGGAGGGGAUUGCGUCUGAUUAGCUAGUGGGAGGGGUAACGGCCCACAAAGGCGAUGAACAGGAGCCGGUCUGCGAUGAUGAACGGCCACAUUGGGAAUGAGGCACUGGCCAGCCUCCUACGGGAGGCAGCAGGGGGGAAGCUUCCGCAAUGGACGAAAGUCGGACGGAGCAACGCCGCGUGAGUGAUGACGGCCUUCGGGUUGUAAAGCUCUGUUAAUCGGGACGCGGUACCGGAAUAGAAAGCCACGGCUAACUACGUGCCAGCAGCCGCGGUAAUAC
rnacentral:rRNA from 1 species